GAAUUGAAGAGUUUGAUCAUGGCUCAGAUUGAACGCUGGCGGCAGGCCUAACACAUGCAAGUCGAGCGGUAGCACAAGAGACAUGCUCUCCGGGUGACGAGCGGCGGACGGGUGAGUAAUAUCCGGGAAACUGCCUGAUGGCGGGGGAUAACUAGUGGAAACGAUAGCUAAUACCGCAUAACGUCGCAAGACCAAAGUGGGGGACCUUCGGGCCCCACACCAUCAGAUGUGCCCAGGUGGGAUUAGCUCGUAGGUGGGGUAACGGCCCACCUAGGCGACGAUCCCUAGCUGGUCUGAGAGGAUGGCCAGCCACACUGGAACUGAGACACGGUCCAGACUCCUACGGGAGGCAGCAGUGGGGAAUAUUGCACAAUGGGCGCAAGCCUGAUGCAGCCAUGCCGCGUGUGCGAAGAAGGCCUUCGGGUUGUAAAGCACUUUCAGCGAAGAGGAAGGGUAAUGUGCUAAUAAGACAUUGCAUUGACGUUACUCGCAGAAGAAGCACCGGCUAACUCCGUGCCAGCAGCCGCGGUAAUACGGAGGGUGCAAGCGUUAAUCGGAAUUACUGGGCGUAAAGCGCACGCAGGCGGUUUGUUAAGUCAGAUGUGAAAUCCCCACGCUCAACGUGGGAACGGCAUUUGAGACUGGCAAGCUAGAGUCUUGUAGAGGAGGGUAGAAUUCCAGGUGUAGCGGUGAAAUGCGUAGAGAUCUGGAGGAAUACCGGCGGCGAAGGCGGCCCCCUGGACAAAGACUGACGCUCAGGUGCGAAAGCGUGGGGAGCAAACAAGAUUAGAUACCCUGGUAGUCCACGCUGUAAACGAUGUCGAUCUGGAGGCUGUGCCCUUGAGGGGUGGCUUCCGUAGCUAACGCGUUAAAUCGACCGCCUGGGGAGUACGGCCGCAAGGUUAAAACUCAAAUGAAUUGACGGGGGCCCGCACAAGCGGUGGAGCAUGUGGUUUAAUUCGAUGCAACGCGAAGAACCUUACCUACUCUUGACAUCCAGAGAACCUUCCAGAGAUGGAGGGGUGCCCUCGGGAGCUCUGAGACAGGUGCUGCAUGGCUGUCGUCAGCUCGUGUUGUGAAAUGUUGGGUUAAGUCCCGCAACGAGCGCAACCCUUAUCCUUUGUUACCAGCGAUAAAGUCGGGAACUCAAAGGAGACUGCCGGUGAUAAACCGGAGGAAGGCGGGGAUGACGUCAAGUCAUCAUGGCCCUUACGAGUAGGGCUACACACGUGCUACAAUGGCGUAUACAAAGAGAAGCGACCUCGCGAGAGCAAGCGGACCCCACAAAAUACGUCGUAGUCCGGAUUGGAGUCUGCAACCCGACUCCAUGAAGUCGGAAUCGCUAGUAAUCGUAGAUCAGAAUGCUGCGGUGAAUACGUUCCCGGGCCUUGUACACACCGCCCGUCACACCAUGGUAGUGGGCUGCAAAAGAAGUAGGUAGCCUAACCUUCGGGAGGGCGCCUACCACUUUGUGAUUCAUGACUGGGGUGAAGUCGUAACAAGGUAACCGUAGGGGAACCUGCGGUUGGAUCACCUCCUUA
rnacentral:rRNA from 1 species